rnacentral:rRNA from 1 species
AACGAACGCUGGCGGCAGGCUUAACACAUGCAAGUCGAGCGCCCCGCAAGGGGAGCGGCAGACGGGUGAGUAACGCGUGGGAACGUACCCUUUGCUACGGAAUAGCUCCGGGAAACUGGAAUUAAUACCGUAUGUGCCCUACGGGGGAAAGAUUUAUCGGCAAAGGAUCGGCCCGCGUUGGAUUAGCUAGUUGGUGGGGUAAUGGCCUACCAAGGCGACCAUCCAUAGCUGGUCUGAGAGGAUGAUCAGCCACAUUGGGACUGAGACACGGCCCAAACUCCUACGGGAGGCAGCAGUGGGGAAUAUUGGACAAAGGGAGCAAGCCUGAUCCAGCCAUGCCGCGUGAGUGAUGAAGGCCUUAGGGUUGUAAAGCUCUUUCACCGGAGAAGAUAAUGACGGUAUCCGGAGAAGAAGCCCCGGCUAACUUCGUGCCAGCCGCCGCGGUAAAAC